rnacentral:rRNA from 1 species
AGUGAACGCUGGCGGUAGGCCUAACACAUGCAAGUCGAACGGCAGCACAGUAAGAGCUUGCUCUUACGGGUGGCGAGUGGCGGACGGGUGAGGAAUACAUCGGAAUCUACUUUUUCGUGGGGGAUAACGUAGGGAAACUUACGCUAAUACCGCAUACGACCUACGGGUGAAAGCAGGGGAUCUUCGGACCUUGCGCGACUGAAUGAGCCGAUGUCGGAUUAGCUAGUUGGCGGGGUAAAGGCCCACCAAGGCGACGAUCCGUAGCUGGUCUGAGAGGAUGAUCAGCCACACUGGAACUGAGACACGGUCCAGACUCCUACGGGAGGCAGCAGUGGGGAAUAUUGGACAAUGGGCGCAAGCCUGAUCCAGCCAUGCCGCGUGGGUGAAGAAGGCCUUCGGGUUGUAAAGCCCUUUUGUUGGGAAAGAAAAGCAGCAUGUUAAUACCCCGCUGUUCUGACGGUACCCAAAGAAUAAGCACCGGCUAACUUCGUG